AGUACCGUGAGCCAUUGUACAAUAAUGAGCUGCCAGGCCACUGCAGUGCAGAAUGUAGGAAUCAAAAGCGUCAGCAAAUUGCAAAGAAGCAACUCUGCCAAGCCACUCCAGAACCUAGAUGUGUUUGGGUCUGAGGCUUCAUUCAGAAUUGUCCUCUCCUCUCUCAACCAUCCUGCAUGUUCUGCCCUUCUUCGGCUUCAAGAUCCUGGCAGAGCAGGCUGUCAGCCUGCAUAGGGAAGGGAAAAACCUCUGUCUCUAUGAUAUGCUCAUUUGAACCUGCUCAGC